UUUAUAAAUGUGUUGCAGGUAAAGAGGGGCUUGCAUAUGCCAAUGAGCAGGGGCUGUAAAUAUGGAGGCGACUGGCUAUGAGGCUGGGGCUGGGCUUGCAGCUGAGUCUGAGGAUGCGGAUGAGGUUGGGGCUUGCAGCCUGGCUACACGUGAUUCAGAUAUGCUUUCUUUCCUUUAUAUUAUGAUUUAGAUGUGUAUAGAUAUUCUAUGAGUUUUUGCAAUCCACGCAUUUGAAUCAUCAUAUAUGCUUAUGAUUUUAAUGCACCAAAAACCACCCAUGUAAUCUCAGCCCUGCAAAUGCGUCAGCAUAUCAUGCUCAUGGACUUGACAUAGAUAUGUUUGAUGUCGCCUAGGUGCGGAACCAGUUGUCCAUUCCAUUGUUACCAAGAUCACCAACCCACCUCAUUCUUUUGACAAAAAAGAAAAUGAAAAAGAAAAAAAAGGUGGCACUUCUAGCAGUCAUAGAUAUUAUUGUCCUCAGCCCCUAGAGUCUGCACUUGGAUGUUCUGAUUUCUUUGUGCAUGCAUUUUUUUCCAUUGAAUUCAAUAUCAAUGAGUUUCUCAAAUGUAGGAUGUUUUUCUAGCAGUGAUUUCUUUGUUCUGAUUCCUUUUACUUUAUACCAAUGUUUUUAUUCUCAAAGUUUAAUUUAUCUACUUCAUUAUGGUGUUUUCUCAUAGGAUGCAAGCUCUAGUUGAGGACUACAUUUUCAGUGGAGGCGUUUUCUCUAUGCCGGUAUUUCAGUAUACUAAUGAGGAAAAAAUCUCUUAAGGUUAGUGUUGCAUGGUUAGGUUUAUGUACUAAAAAUAAUUAGAAAACAAUUGAUUUCUGGAGAGGAGCACUGAACACAGUAAUUUUGUAGCGAGCUGUCUGCUUUGUAUAUUUCAAACCAAGUUCAAAUGGACCCUUUGAUCAUCAAGCUUCUUGAGGAUGAUGAGGUUAACAACAUUCUUCUAAGCUUUACCUUUUGUUAUAUUUAUUGAAGGAUGAGAACAUACAUUCUAGAAAGGAUGUGGAGGCAUUAAUAGUUGCCUUAAACAGAGAUAUUAGAGGAGAAACGUCUAUUUUUCAGCCUGUUGAUCUAGAUGCUGGCUGAUGUAUUUUUAGCCCCAUAGAUCAAUGUUGCCACUACAAGGUUCAAUAUUGAAAUGGUAAAGUUUUUAACUAUUUAUUUUAUCUUUAUUUUUUUCCUAUUCUUCAUAAAUAAUUUGAUGUCUUAGCCUCCUGUCAUUACCAGCUAGUUUUGUCACUAUUUGUACAUAUGUCAUCUCAUGAGUCUUACUUUUUGUAAUUUUCUUACCCUUGUAGUGAUUAUCAGAAGCAGUGGGCCAUCAUUAAAAGAUUACCCUUGUAGUGAGUCCAAUCAAGGUAUGGAUAAUACAUGGUUUUAGUUCAUGGUAAAUGGUACCUUUUAUUGUGGAUCACCCCUGGACCAAAGACCUGGUACCUUUUGUUGUUGUUAGUUCCUAAUUAGUUUGUUUCUGUAUUACGUCGGAGCUAUUCGGAUAUUGAGUGGGGGUUCCUUGAAUGUGGGAACCGCUGUUAU